AGAGGCAGUUGGGGAGGCAGCUCUGAGGGGGGAGGACAGUUGGAAGAAUGAGAAAGCUUUCCGAGAGGGAUGCUCAAGGGGGAAAGUUUCCGAUCCUAGAGGACCAGAUGAACCAUAGUGCUGUGAGCCAAAACAGGGAAGCUGGGAGAGGAUGGAGGCUUGAGAGAUAGUGCUCGACAAAUGCUGCCAUUAAUUAGAGGGCAAGAAGAGAAUGAAGGAGCAACUCCAGGGGCUGCAGAGGAAAUCAAGGCGGUGCAGUCACUGGAGCCCUGGGACGAACAGGUUUUCAGAAGUAGAAUGGAGUCAUCAUGAUAUCAAGCAGCAGUGAGAGGACAGGGGAGCGUGCUUUGAGAUGACAAGGAGCUGGCCGAGACCGGAGGCUUCCCGCCCCGAGCCGGAGCCAGGAGUCCCCCAGAGGCGCAGCUGAGGAUGCCCGCACCUGCGGAGAGUCGGGACAGGAGCCCUCUUCCCCAGACGGGCGGCCCACGCACGGAGCUGCCUCCGCUCCAAGCCCGGUGGCCGCGGCCACGUCCACGCAUCCGCUCGGAGAGCCGUUGCCCCGGGGAGGGCAGCGUGAGAGGGCUGGCCACGCAUCUCUGCUGACUUCAUCUCCCAGCGAGGGGAGGACGGCGGCGGCGGAGUGCAAGCCCGAUGGAAAGCCAGACUGGACUCCGAAUGCCCCCACCGGCUGGGGGCCCUCUGCACGCUUCGCGGUGGUCUUCGGACCCGGAGCGCCCGGCCAGGCCUGCAGUUCUGCCACUGCUGGCUGUGCCACCUGGAAAAGUUAUCUAAACCUCUCUGUACCCCAGUCUCCUUCUUCGUCACCUGGUGAUCAUAACUGUCCUGACCUCAUUGGAUGGCUAUGAGGUUUAAACGAGGUAAUAUGUGCCCAAGGUUGUUCUGAACAGGGUUUCUUUUGUUUGGAAGGAUUAAAAAAAAAAAAUUGGAAUACUCUCUAAAAAGAGUAACUGACCUCAGUACCCUUGAGUGCCCGGUAUUGAAUGAGGGGGUUCACGAAUGGGCAUCAGGGUGGAUGGUCCUGCCUCCAACACUGCAAAGCCUUGUGUCGGUGUAUUGUAUAGAAAUACUUUUUUUGCCUAGGAGUCCACAGGCUAAGAUGCUCAAAGGGGUCGUGACUCAAGAUUGGGUGCCUAGGGGGUUUCAAGUGCCUUUGUUCUAGACUGGAGUUUCUCAGCCUUGGCACUAUUGACAUUUGGGGCCAGAUAAUUCUUUGUUGUGGGGGUCUGUCCUGUGCAUUGUAGGGUGGUUAGCAGCAUCGCCAGCUCUUUCCAUGAGAUGCCAGGAGCAUCCCCUCCAACUUGUGAUGAUCAAAAAUGUCUCCAGACAUUGCUAAAUGUCCUCGGGGGUGGGAGGGGGGCUCAAAAUUGCCUCUGGCUGAGAACUACGGCUUUGCAACAUUCCCUGUGGAGGACGUCCUCGGUAAGUUGAAGCUGAGCAAGAUUACUUUUCUGACCCUCAGUGGUCUCUGCCUACUUCUGUGCACUGUAUGGAGGGUCCAGUUACAUCCUGGCAAAGGCUUUUCAAAGUUGAUGGACCACAGACUUUCCAAGCCCCAGCCCUGUUUGCUGUCAACUAUUGGUUCCCAGA